UACAGAGGGUGCGAACGUUGUUCGGAAUUACUGGGCAUAAAGCGCGCGUAGGCGGCGACGUAAGUGUAGGGUGAAAUCCCACGGCUCACCCGUGUGAAUUGCCCCGCAUACUGCGUUGCUAGAGUGUGGUAGGGGAGAGCGGAACUCCUGGUGGAGCGGUGAAAUGCGUAGAUAUCAGGAGGAACACCGGUGGCGAAGGCGGCUCUCUGGUCCACAACUGACGCUGAAGUGCGAAAGCUAGGGUAGCGAACGGG
rnacentral:rRNA from 1 species